rnacentral:rRNA from 1 species
GUGUCUGGUGGGUAGUUUGACUGGGGCGGUCUCCUCCCAAAGCGUAACGGAGGAGCACGAAGGUUAGCUAAUCCUGGUCGGACAUCAGGAGGUUAGUGCAAUGGCAUAAGCUAGCUUGACUGCGAGCGUGACGGCGCGAGCAGGUGCGAAAGCAGGUCAUAGUGAUCCGGUGGUUCUGAAUGGAAGGGCCAUCGCUCAACGGAUAAAAGGUACUCCGGGGAUAACAGGCUGAUACCGCCCAAGAGUUCAUAU